GUGCUUGCUUCAGCAGCAUAUACACUAAAAUUGAACGAUACAGAGAAGUUGAGCAUGGCCCUUGUGCAAGGAUGACACGCAGAUUCAUGAAGUGUUCAUAUUUUUA